rnacentral:rRNA from 1 species
AACGAACGUUAGCGGCGCGCCUAACACAUGCAAGUCGAGCGAGAAAGGGCUUCGGCCCCGGUAAAGCGGCGCACGGGUGAGUAACACGUGGAUAACCUACCCCUUGGUGGUGGAUAACCUUCCGAAAGGAGGGCUAAUACAGCGUAAGACCACGACUUCGAAAGAGGUUGAGGUAAAAGUGGGCCUCUGUACACAAGCUCACGCCAGGGGAUGGGUCCGCGGCCCAUCAGCUAGUUGGUAGGGUAACGCCUACCAAGGCGAAGACGGGUAGCUGGUCUGAGAGGAUGAUCAGCCACACUGGAACUGAGACACGGUCCAGACUCCUACGGGAGGCAGCAGUGGGGAAUCUUGCGCAAUGGACGAAAGUCUGACGCAGCGACGCCGCGUGAGUGAUGAA